rnacentral:RNase_MRP_RNA from 2 species
UUGUGUUACGUGAAGAAUUGAUCAUAGAAGCCAACAAAACGCCUAGUUGCUCUGUCAACUAUAAAACAACCAGAUUUUCAAAUCAAAAUGCUUUUGGAAAAGUCCCCAGACCCUAGAACAGAAAGUGUUGCCCGUUAAGGUUAUGAUCAAGUUUUAGUUCACUCGACAGAGAAGGUAUAAGAUUCAAGUUUAAGUAUUUGUGCUCUCUACCCGAGUCAUUGGUGAAAUUACUUGGUCACUGGUCACAGUAAAAGUAAUAUGAAAUUAAGAAUUUUAAAUAAAUAUUCUCUACAAAAUGGGGCUUACUCUCAACGUACACC